AAGACUAUACUUUCAGGGAUCAUUUCUAUAGUUUCUGACUUGAGAAAUGUGUUUCUAAAGUGAUUGGUCUCGCCAACCACGAGGAUGAGAUUUGAUAUUCUUUCCUGAGCGUGAAGCGGACAGAGAGUAAUGAUUCAGUUCAUACACUCUCUAUCAUUGAUGACCGUUCACUGCUUCCUAGUGGAGCAGUGAGGGAAAGGAUAUGAUCAGAGUGGU